GAGAGUUUGAUCCUGGCUCAGGAUGAACGCUAGCGGCGCGCUUAACACAUGCAAGUCGUGCGAUCGGCUUAUUCAAUCUUCCUUCGGGAAGAGCGAAUAAGUACGGAGCGGCGGACGGGUGAGUAACACGUAGCUAACCUGCCUUCGGGCGGGGGAUAGCAUCGGGAAACCGUUGUUAAUACCCCAUGACACCAACGAAACAUAAGUUCCGUUGGUCAAAGUUGUCUUUGGCAACACCUGAAGAUGGGGCUGCGUCCUAUUAGCUAGACGGUGAGGUAAAGGCUCACCGUGGCCAAGAUAGGUAGGGGGCCUGAGAGGGCGAUCCCUCACACUGGA
rnacentral:rRNA from 1 species